ensembl:snoRNA
AACCCAGCGAAUUAAGCUGCUUAUCUCAAUGCAUUUUUGCAGAAAUUUAGAAACAGCUGGCAAUAGUGAUGACAUUUUAUGAGCUUUAAGAACAACUGAGGUCAUUACUGUCCUCAAAAUGGCUGCAAUA